GAACUUGCUGUCCACUACUUGGCUCCAGGACUCAGCCUCCAGCUGCUUGGAAUCUAAUUCCAGUUCUCCCAUGAGCUGUCCUUCAUUCAUGUCCGCUCCUUCACAAAGCAAUAAUCAUCAGCAGGGGAUCUCAGCAGUUAAAACCAGCCACAGGAAGGAAAGAACAUGGAUCCCUGUGCAGAAUUGACUGCACUACACUACGCUUAAAAUUCCUAGGUGGGAUCUGCAAGUCCAGAAACAUAUACUUUGGAAACUGAAUUUAAUUUUAUGUGAUAAAUAGUCAUAUGUUUUAAUCUACUCUGUUGCUUUGUCACUCCCCUGGGCCUAUAAUUAUAUGCAUCUUGCUGCUUCUGGUCACAUUUUUUGAGAAGGUUUCUCUAUCAGUAUAUGCCACAGAGAAAUGAUAAUCCUUAUUUCAUUAUACUAUCAUUAUAGUUUUACUAUCAUUAUAGAUUAGCUUUAACUAAUCUUUCAUAUUAAUUCCAGAUUUUUUCCUUCUUCAGAUGCAUUUCUGCUUUCUGGAGUGACAUCUCUGAUAAAUACCACAGUGAUUACAACUGUAUUAUGCAGUGUGGCUCCAUACAGAGAUCUUCAAGCUAUCACUUAACAAAGCUUAUCACUUAAGCUCAUCAAAUCAUGGCACUAUAAAACCCAUUUGGGCUAUUUCAUGCCUAUUCUAUACCCUUGGUCACACUGUACUGCAAAGUCAGGAAAAGUUUGUCAGCAUUCCUCCUAUUCAAAAUUAAACUUUUUAUUUUGA